UGCCAUGAAAAUGUAGGUGUCUAACCAG
rnacentral:piRNA from 1 species